CUCUUUCUUUGUCUCUGCCUGGGUCCUGAGGCCGGCUGUCAGUCGUUCUCUCCGCGGCGGAUCCGCUUUGGGUGUGUGAAAGCCUGUCCCACGUGAGGAGAUGCGUUGCUCCCGGAGCAACUGAAAUCUCAUCCCCGUCCUGAGCGGCCUCUUUUCUAGUAUCAGGAUGAACACACUGCAGCCGAGGACAAGAGCCCCAGAGGAACUCUUUGUCCCACAGGAGAGCAGCGGAUCCACGCCAGAGAAGACGCUUGUAUAUUUUCACGGCUCUUCUCUGAGGAAUGAAGCCACUCCACGAUACAGUCAGCAAGAGGAAGCCGGGAAUGGGAGAUGGCAACAAUCCCUGUCACUGGAACGCUGGCCUCUCUGGACAAGCCACCCUUUUGGAACCCCACCCCUUACGCCCGUGGCGGUGGCACGGUGCUGUAUCCUGCCUGGUCUCUGGCCUCUGCUCUCUCCUCCCUCUGGCUCUGCCUCCACUGUUUCUCAGGGGCCUGGAUGCCUCUUGCUCUUGCCUAAUGCCUUCAACAAAGAUGACUUCCCAGUCCAUCAGGGAGACACUUCCUGGAGGUCCGUGUCAUGAUCGUUUCUCUCUCCAAACCUUUUUCUGCUUAAUUGGGCAGGUAUCAUGACCCGGGAGCUCUUGGCUUCCAUAGGUGUCUCAGGCAGGGAAGCUUCCUUCUUCCCCACGUUUCCCCUCAUGGGUGGGUGGAUUGCCUAGAAUGAGCGCUAGGAGACCGUGACUGGCCUUGUCUUCCAGGACAGGUGGUGUCCCAUUUCCUCUGCAUUUCCUGUCUCAUUCUUGAGGGACAUCCUCUCCUCUGCUCCUGGGUGGCCUGACUCCCUUGAUCUUCUGGAAGAGCUGAUGUGGGCUUGAAGCCUCAGCUGUGAUAAUAAGAACACAGUGACUCAUGACUACGUCUUGACUGAAAUGCAGGCCUUGAAUCUAAUCAUUAUGUUGAAAAGAGGUGUUGAGCCUACGAAAUGAAGGCAUGUCUGGAAAGAGACACAGCAAUAUGUUACAGCCAAACUGUAACCUAAAUCCCAUGAACGCAUGUCAUCCCACCUGCUAUUCGUUUCUUUCAGAGCUGUCACCCAGUGAUCUACAAAUGAGAAAGGGGAGCAACAGCUUUGUAAAGAAAUGCUACCUUUUGGGGAGUGAAGGCAGCUAUGUGGCUGAUACCUCAUGCUCCUUGUGUUAUUUCCACCCCUUCGGUGGUACUCCAUGAAUUUCACCCCACAUCUGAGAAAUGGCUGGUUCAGCAAGCUAACAGCACACGCAUCCUACUCUUUUCUAUUUUAACCAAAAAAAUUCCUAAGUGGUAUUCCUUAAAUCUUGAGCAAUUAUGAUUCCUUAAAUCUUGAGCAAAUCUUGAGAAAACUGUGUCCUACUAAAAUUAAAAGGUAUUCUCCUGGGAAGUGGGCCCUAUGUCUAUUAAACAUACUUAGCAAAAUCUCUUGCUGUGUCGGUAUUUCCAGAAGGUCCUUAGCACUCACCAGGAACAGUGGUUGCCUCUAGGAAUGAAAUGGGAUGAUGGAAGACCUGGGGAGCCGUGUCAGGAGGAGACACUCAUGAUGCGCCUUUUGGCCAUAGUCACUGUCAUGGCUAAGAAAGCAACUCCAACCCACACACUGCAAAUAUGAAGGACCACGAAAGGCACGCAGGCUCUGGUUUGCGUAGUGAAGAUGAGCGACCGUGUUCCUAAGCAUGAAGGACCACGAAAGGCACGCAGGCUCUGGUUUGCGUAGUGAAGAUGAGCGUCCGUGUUCCUAAGCAUGAAGGAGGACCACAUGAGUAUCCUGGACACCUACUGCAUGAAUGUAUUCGCCCUUUCAGGUCUAGGGACCUGGUAACCAUUUAUUAUUUGUACUCUGAUUUUCUUCCAUUUCUGUCUCCAGUCCAUAAAUGUAACUUAAGUGACUUAUUAACACUGAUGGUUUGAUCACCAAUAGCAAGUUCCAGUUUCAGUCUUAGUGUAGGUGCCCUUAUUACAGACUUGAGAUAAAGUCCAGGGCUAACCACUCUUACAAAUUUACACUUUGCUAAAGGGUACCUUGGGACAGAGGGAGUGCAGAGCAGAGAAAACCUACCUGUGCAACUGAGAAGGCCGCUCAGGCCACGGGGACAGGGCAGGAAUGCUCUCAGGAGUGUCCCCUGCACCUGAACUUGAUUUCACGCCAUCACCUUCCGCCUCUUAACCAGCAUCUCCUGGACAGUCAGCCGAGUGUUUCCAUGAUACCAGCCAUACCUGAUGCCAGGAGACUCGCUACACUUGGAAGCUCUUCAAGGCAUGCUUAUCUUUGUGAACUGAAUCUUGGAGAAGGAGGAUUGAAAAUAAGAGCUAUCUUUGAGGCUCUAACACCUACAAGAGACACCCUCCCUCUCCACCGUGGAUCACCUGUCUCACCCAUGUGAGUCUCCACACAGAAACCAGUCAUGGCCCUGCCUUUGCCCCCCUUGAAAUCACCCAAGAGGAUGCUUCAAACUCAGGCAAGCACAACUGAUACUCACUCUGCAUGCGACAGCAGGGGAGUGACCUUACAAGAAACUAAUGGGUCUCGCUUCCUGAGAAUCACUGUCAGAGCCCGUAACAUAAGAUAAAUCACAGCCAAGGAUUUUUGAAAAGUUUCCUGAUGAGAGAACCAUGACCUUUUCAAGGGUAGUGAUGGAUUGAUCAGGGCAAGCAAUAGGUAGAUUUUUUAAAACAAGCCUGGCAAAAAAACAAUGAUAUAUAUCUACCAAAGUUGGCUAGAAUACCUGGCUGAUAUCCCAGUCAGGAAACAUAGGAAAAGGUUACAUCCGUAGAAAAAAAAACCAGCUUGUUAAGCAAAACAAUGCAGUUAAAAACCAAGCUCACUGUAAGAAAUGCCACGUGGGCCAGUGGGGACGGCCAUGCCGAAAGCGCUCAGUGCUCCUGAAGCUGGGUGGCAGGUGUUUUCACACACAAAGGCCUUCCUUGCUGGGGCCAUGGGAUAAGCCUUUGAGUGGAGACUAGCAAGGAGCUUUGAAGUCUGCAUUGGGGGUGGAAGGUGGCAAUCCCAUUAGACAGCUCUCCCUGGUGUGAAUUUAUGAAGCCCCAUGCAGACUGUGACUUUUAAAAUAAUCACUUAGUUGGUUUUAGCACAUAUCGCAGGUUUCAUUACAGGCUGCCCCUUAACGAGCAUUGUAACCUGGAGGAAAGAAUCCAAAUUCUUUAGUGACCACCUAACUCCACAUUCAUUACCCUGUUGCCCAGGGUGGAGUCCAAAAGCAGCAACUAUGUUUAUUUCUCCAUAGAAAACAAACGUUCACCAAGGCACGUCUGUUCUAUUACUUUUUUAUUCUUAACUAGACCGUUAAUAUAAUUGUUGGUUGCAUUGAUUUCAACUUCCCCACACGAUGCAAUCGGCUUUCUGCCGUAUUUCAAUCACACUAACCAAGAGAGACAUCAGACGUUCAAAAUAGACUCUGGACCAAAACCGAGGGCAGGGGAGAGGUGAGCGGGCCAGGCACAGCUCUGCUGAAGCACUGGUUUGACAUGUCGAGUUGAAGUGUUUCUACUCAAAACACCUGUCUCCCUGCCAAGGUGAAGGCUAGAUGGUAAAAAAGAAAGUUCCCUUUUUUCUGAUAAACUAGGCUCUCUCCAUAGGAAGUGCCCUGAAGGCCCCCAGCUCCGACUCCGAGAGCAGAGCCCAGACUCUCCUACUUUGAACGGACAUGAGCUCUAUGCCUCUUGGGGUUUCUCUGCCUGCCCAGUCACCCUGGAUAACGUGCUUGCCCUAGAUUGUCUCCUAGGCCAAGUCCUCUCCAAGUUCUUGGCCCUUUGUCCU